rnacentral:lncRNA from 1 species
GUGAGUUGUAACAUACCAGAUUUUGGUAUAAAAAUAAAAAUAAAUAAAAAUAGUGUGAGAAACUAUUUUUAUUGGAUUCAUAGAAGUAAAACGUAAAUAAGGAGUGACUUGUGCUGAAAUCGGAAUGAAAACAGAAGAUCUAGAAUUUCCUGUUGGAAACGGGACAGAUAAAUUAGCAGAAAAUGUACAGUCUCAGAAAAUUAUGAAAAUUGGAGGAUAAGUCAGAAAUAUUUUUAUGAGGCUAGAUUUAAAGUUUCAUAUUUUUCUGACACCCGUAGAGUGAGAAAUAAAAUUCAAUAGCUAUCUGAUAAAGAUUAUAGUUCGGUAUAGUUUUCGGUGACCAAAUGGGGUCGAAACUGAAAACUUAAAAUAUAUUCUUACUCAGUACGUUAAACUGAGUCUGUCUGUCAAAUUUGAGCUAAAAUGGACAUUCAGAAGGGCUCCAACUGUUCCGAACUGCAAAAACUGCCUGAAGUGAAUAGUGUCUUGGGGUGUAUUAUUAAGAAGCAUGAUGCUUCUUCUUCCUCCUUCAGCCCGAGCACACCCACACCCACGCACGCAUGGAGUAGAGAGAGAAACACCUCUACCACUCUCUAGAUAUCUCUCUCAUCUCUCUAAAUCUCUCUCUAAAAAUUGGAGGGUUGGUGGAGAAGAUGCUCGCAAACGCGUUGGGAGCGACGGAUCGAGCUUUCGUGCGCCCGUUGGAGCGGCAUGUUUUCGUCGCGGCGUUCACAUUGUGGUAAGCUUUUGGGAUUUGGCUUAAUCCUUCACAUUAAGUGUUCUAAUAGCCUCUAAUGAGCUUUGUUAGCAUGUUGCUAUAUUUAAUUUAGAUUAUUUGGCGGUUAAUGGCAUCUAAGGCUCAAAAAUGAAAUUUUGUAAAAUAUGAGGGUUUGAUCUAAUUUGACCCUCCAUAAACUAAAUUGCUAGAUAAACGAACGCGUUUGCGAAGACGGUUCGGCAAUCCGACGAGCCGUUACAAAGUUAUUAAAGAAAUGGACGUUUAGGCUUUGGGUCCGCCGGGAGGGCCGAGGCGACGUCGUAAAAUCGUGGAAAUGGAUUUGAGGCAUCGUAGCACAUAACCGAAGACUUAUAAUUUUCGGGGCUGCGAAGCGGAGCACGGUUGAGGCGCAGUUGCAGUAUCGGGCCAAGCCGGGUGCCGGGUGCCGGGUGCCGCGGGCGGCCGAUUGCAAGUGUCGACAAGCAAUCGGAAUGCGAAAUGAGGUGGGUUGUGCUUACCGAAGCGACUAGGUCGCCUGUAUGUCUAAGAGAAAUGAGAUUUCAUUUUGAUGCAUAUUGACAUAAUAUAAGAAUGUGAAAAGAAUGCAUGCUAACAUACUAUAGAAAUGCAUAUGAUUAAUGCUUUGAAUGCAUAAUAUAAAGGGCGUAUGAAUGUUAGCAUUAUAAGAACAUCAUAAAAGGAAUGUAUGAUGACAUGUUGUAGAAUAUGCUAAAUGUAAUGCAUAAUGAAUUAAGUGCUAAAAGAAUACAUGAGAUGCUAAGUAUGGACUAUUUUGGAUAAUGACUAUAUGUAUGUUGACAUAUCAUGUGAUGCUAGUGGUAUAUGUGCAUGAUGAUAUAUUAUGAAUUUACAUAUUGUGGAUUAUGUUAAAUAGAAAAACAUACUUGAUGACAUAUUGCCAUGUUGUAGAACAUAGUGGACAAUCUAUAUAUAUAUAUUAGAUCGAGUGGCAUUAAACCUAGCAUCUUGGAACCUAGCAAACACUUGUGGUGAUUGAUCAUGUAUAUUCUGGUGUCAUUCAUGUAUGUUAGGACCCUAUUAUUGUGUAAAUGUGAGAGUUGGACUUGAACAUUAGUAAACAAGGGUGACAGUGACAGUAGAGACAUGAUUGGCAUCAAGAAAGUGAUUGUUAAACAUAGUUUAACCAUAUUGACAUUGGUCCAAGUUGAUAUAGAGAGUGGCAUGAUUAAAUAGGUAGAGACCUAUCAUGACAUUGGCAUUGUGACGAGUGGCUAUGAAUUCUCAAGUUGAGGAUUGGAUCGCUACUCACGUUACGUCUUGGCUUGAGGGAGGUAGCUCCCCCUCGGGCGGUGCGCUCCGGAGUUGGUCACCACUGGGCGUGGUAAAGUCCCCCCAGAUGACGGUCCCCAGAGAGGUUCGAGUCCCCCGUUAUUAAGGGAUUUUGGCAGUGAGUUAUUGGAGUUAACAUGGUUAACCGGUAAGAUUGGGUCAUAGCCAAAUGAGUGUACAACAAGUAUGCAUUAUGAGUUAUGGAUUUGGUAUCCUAGUCGAGAGGAUCUAGGGCUGAGGUGUAUGUGAGACGUCCAUCGCCUCGAGCCUGGUUCUAGUGCGGUACUCCGCAGACGAUUGACUCAAGACCGAGUCGGAUAGUUAGCCUUGUAAAGGUAGAUGAAACUUUAUGAUUUAAAAUGGUGAUUGACAAGAAUCUAUGAUAAAGGAAACCUUAGAUAUCAAACGGAUGAGCUAUGGUUAGCAGAAUUGAAAGUAGUAUCGAAUGAACUACUAGUUGGUUGCAUAGUUGCAUUAUUGCAUGAUUUGCAUAUAGCAUUACAUUAUUGCAUUCGUGAGGCAAUGCAUGGUUUUACUCGUUGCAUAAUCAAGAUAUAUAUCUAUCUGUUUAUUGAACUAACUUGCAGUUGCCUCCCUUGGACCUAUUGGUCGAGCUUUUCCCUUGGGUGGCCGUACCCACUGGGAACCAUGGAGUUGGUUCUCACUCCACGUGGUUUUGGGGUGUUUACAGGUUCGCACGUGAGUUGCGCGGCAGCGCGAGGAAAGGGCGUAGCUCCGUAGAUAGCGUCCUACCCCAGAGACCAGAGCUAGCAGUACCCUGUCGGCAUAGUUUAGGGGUUAAAGAAAUAAAAAGAACACAAUGUAACAUGAUGUAUUAAAGAUAUAAAUGUUGUAAUAAUUUAGAUUGCAUUUGGAUGAAAAAAGAAUGGCAGUUGAGGUGUAAAAUGCAUGAAUAUGAAUGAAUAUAAUAAUAUAGGAUGUGUUAUGUUGUUUGAUACCUUCCAUUAUGCAAUCUUGAUUGAAAUGUGUUCCUGGUUGGAAUUUCUUAUAUUGUAUUGAUUGCUAUGCCUUGAACGUACAGGGGAGACUCUGUCCGCAGUAUAGGAAAAACCCUGUCCGUUCGGCGAUCUGUUGGCGUGCCCGAAACCGACCAAAUAGGCGGUCGCGGGGCGUGACAGAUAAGAUGGUAUCAGAGCAUAAAAAGAACAUAAAAAGAAUAAUAGAAAAUGAUUUAGUUGGACCUAGGAGACCCUAGGAUAGUAAACCAUAGGAGAUUAAGGCUCGUGAGAGACGAGGACUUGUUUCUUUUGGCGAAAGGAUAAUUGAUUGGGUUGUGUCAUAAACCUCUAAAACGGAUGUUAGAGGUAGACUCAAGGUGAGGUUUAUUCUCAACAGAGGGUGUUCAUGUUGGGUGCACACAACAUAAAGCCGAGUGAUGAGAGUAGACGCAUUUGCGUGACUUUCGCCCGAUUUGAGUCGGUAUUAAGUGUUUCAUGUUCGACCUAGAAGGUCGAGGAUUAAUAGAGUUGUCACGUUUUCGGAAGUAAUAGCACCGCGUAGGCGAUCUUCUUUUAGAUUGGCGCGGGAUGGGCCAAGUGGUGUCCUUGGGCAAUUUGAGGCGAGCGGAGACUUGGAACUUCGCGAGCUUUGGCAGCCCUUAUUACCUUUGAGAAAUUAACGGAAUCCUCGUCGUGUUAGAUCAAUUUUGGUUAAAUUGACCAAAGUGCGUCGAGAGUAGUUAGACGAAGUCCAAUGGACAUUCCAAUAAUGUUGGAAGGGUUAAAAUUGAGUUCUAAGAGAGUUAGAAAGGUUUUAGCAUUGCUCGGCGUGAAUUGGAGUCGAAGCGGUGCAAAAUCGAAAUUCUGGAACAUGUGUUACCGAUUUAACACCAGGGGUGUACCGGUACAGCGUGGUUGUAACGAAGUGAAUUCUCGAGAGCCUAGAGUUGGACUUUGUCCAGGAUCGGUUAGUUGUCGAGUGGGUAUGUAACAUACCGAAACAUCGAUAACCAAGUAUUAAACCUUGGUCAAAUUGACCAAAGAGCGAGGUUGGUAUGCUUUGGAAAGGCCGAAGGCGUCAAAUAAUGCAAAAGUGCAUUAUUGGGGAUCUUCGAGAGCCUUGGAAAUGAAAAUCUGCAAACUGCAGAUUUUCUGUUCUCGGAGACCGGUCCCUGUGGGGAGAGACCGGUCCCCAAACGCGUAGGCAGCAAGAGGAGAGAAAAAUCGGCUAAGUUCCCGGUGGACAGCUCUCGGGAACCGGUCCCUGCUGGAGAGACCGGUCCCUGAGAGACCAGUCCCCCAAAGAAAGACCGGUUACAUCGGGUGUGAACUCUGCUGACUGCGGGGAGAAGCUCUCGGAGACCGGUCCCUCGUCGGGGAGACCGGUCCCCGAACCCGAAAAUGGCCCAGUCAGGGCAGUGUAAAAGAAUAAAAGUUGAGGGGCUUGUUUGCACUUAUGCAACAUGUGGGGCUAUGUGAGGGGUAUGAGAGCUCUUUUCUCUUAUUUCUCACCCACACACCCUCUCAUAUCUUUCUUUCUCUCUCUAGCAGACAAGAAGAGGAAGAAGAAAGGAAAGGGAAGAAAAAGAAGAAGAAGGAGGUCUUCCUCAUCUUCCUCAUUUUCUCUUUGGUUGGAGCUUCUUGGAGAGGUAAGCUUCUAAGCUCUCUCUCAUGGUGGAUUUCUGGAGAUAGAUUUGAUUGCUCUAGAAAUGGAGUUUUGUAAUAUGUGAGGGCGUAGUACCUGCCAGUACAGGUAUAGAGCCAGAUGGCACUAGCGAAGUGCUAGAAGUAAUCUAUGGCGAGAAGUGAGACUCGCGGUAGAGAUAGAAGUGUCGAAAUGACUCUCAGAGCAAUAUGAGUAGUAAAUUGCGAGAGUCGAGCCAUAAUGCCUAUGGGCACCCGAGUAGUCCGAAAAUUUCAGAUGUCAUUCCGGUAGAUCAAACAAUGAAAGUAGCAUUACUGUUGAGAGAACGGUCGAUUAGUGGCCAAGUUUGAGCACGUGGGCCUAGUAGUACCUCAAGGUGAGGUAGGCGGUUGUGCUCGUGCGGCCGGUGUGCGUAGGCAAGAUUGCCUAAUGCUGGAUUUCGUGUGAAAUGCUGUAGAGGCGUAGAGCGCUCGAGUGUAGAUACCCGUAGAGUGCGGAUGUGGAUUCAGCUGAGAGAGUGUAUUGGCAGUAGCACUUGAGCAUUGCUAAGUGUGAAGCGUGCCAUGGAUCACUCGUGGGACUGGUGACUCGCACUAGGUGCAUAGUAGCCGGUAGUGAUAUGUGUGACUCGGUAGAGCAUGUCGUGUAGGACGACGACGGCGGGUAGUGCUUGGGGACUACCCGUGCCUGGACCAUUAGUGGACUGUGGAGCCUAGGCCCUUUGGGUAGGCGCAGUCAGCUGUGAGUGACAGCGGCCCUGUACCUACGGGUAGGGCAGAGUUCUGGUCAGGACGGUAGUCCGGGCUUAGACCCGGGAGCGUGGAAUGCCACGUGAUAGAUUGUGUGACCGAUGCUACACCGAGUAUGGUUGUGACCCAAUCCGAGGACUUGAGGUGGUUUGGGGUCUUAGUUGCUCUUGGUUGGAGUGUGUGCGAAUUCCCAAGUGAGAAUUUCGCCCGAUCAUGAUUGGGUCUGCAUUUGCGAGCGAGAGACGCUGCGUAUUGAAACAAGUUUAGGCGGUAGGCCUACGUAGGAUUGGUGGCCUUUGGUCCACCUGUGGAUACCGAAGAGAGCGAUUUGGCAGAUAGCCUUAUCGAGGAAUUCGAAUCGAAUUCACGAACGAAGCGCUCGUGUGAGCUCGCUGCGCAGAUAGUUUGAUGUUAAUCGUGGCAUGUGGUGUCAGAUGAUGAAGUACUCCUUGCGAGACAUCGAACUAGUGGAAAGUCACGUGAUGUUGGAGACUAUGCUCGUAAGCGAACUAAAACUUGAGAUGUGCCGAAGAGGGCCAUCUUGCGUUAAAGUUAAGGGUCAGUGCGAAAUUAGAGCACUCACGACGGAGCGAUGCAUCGGUGAUAUUGCUUCUAAGCAAUGUCGGUGAUCGAGUCAGAAUAUAUUCCCUGAAAGGAAGGUAAGUGCAAAGAAGAGUUCUUUGUGUACCGAAUGGUGAGUGGUGUUGGAGCGCAUAGAGUCGUCGGGUACCGACUUGCGCUGCCACUAUAACUUGCAAGACCCGUGAUGCACUGUUCUAUCACACCUUGCAAAUGCGUUUAGGGUUAAACUCACGUCCUUCAGUAUGAGCCGCUUCUGGAACCACGAUAGUGUGAAGCCGCUCUGGAGUGGGAGAAUGAGUUGGUACCCUCAAUUGCUCACGGAGCUGAAUUGAGGCGUUGUUUGAAUUUCGCGGACAAAAUUCUUUUGAGGGGUGGAGAAUGUAACAUACCAGAUUUUGGUAUAAAAAUAAAAAUAAAUAAAAAUAGUGUGAGAAACUAUUUUUAUUGGAUUCAUAAAAGUAAAACGUAAAUCAGGAGUGACUUGUGCUAAAAUCGGAAUGAAAACAGAAGAUCUAGAAUUUUCUGUUGGAAACGGGACAGAUAAAUUAGCAAAAAAUGCAUAGUCUCAGAAAAUUAUGAAAAUUGGAGGAUAAGUCAGAAAUAUUUUUAUGAGGUUAGAUUUAAAGUUUCAUAUUUUUCUGACACCCGUAGAGUGAGAAAUAAAAUCCGAUAGCUAUCUGAUAAAGAUUACAGUUCGGUACAGUUUCCGGUGACCAAAUGGGGUCGAAACUGAAAACUUAAAAUAUAUUCUUACUCAAUACGUUAAACUGAGUCUGUCUGUCAAAUUUGAGCUCAAAUGGACAUUCAGAAGGGCUCCAACUGUUCCGAACUGCAAAAACUGUCUGAAGUGAAUAGUGUCUUGGGGUGUAUUAUUAAG